GCCUCAGAACAAAGGAGGUUGUCUCCUGGGGAAGAGCAGGUGCUAGGGGGCUGAAACAGCAGGCCCACGUCCAACAUCACUCUCUCUGGGAACCCUUCCCUUUUGAGGCAUAGCCGCCUCGUUUCCAAAGUAGACCUGGAUACCAUGACGAUAAAAAGCUGGACACACUGCCUCGGUGCAGAUCUGCUGGCUGUGUGAUCUUGGCUAGAGAUGGUCAUGUAAUCCAGUUCUGGUCAAAGACACGCCUGGACUCUGCAGAACCUCUGUUCUUCUUAGUAAAUGAGGAGCCCCUACUUUCUGCCUCGAACACAGCGUCCGAAGACAUGAUGAUCCAAGCUGUGGUAGCCUCUUGACUGUGAGGGGAUAUGUCUGGACUCUUCAAGGAAAUACAUUGAGGACAGCAGAAUAAAGAGAAAGAGAGAGUUUGAUGCUAACUUCAAGUCAUUGGACCAACCUGGGAUUGACUGCCGGCCUGCAGAUAUCUAGUAUAAGAUGUUGGCUGUGUGCCAUGGCCCAUGCCUGUAAUCCCAGCACUUUGGGUUGGGAGACCGAGGCAGGUGGAUCACGAGGUCAAGAGAUCGAGACCAUCCUGGCCAACAAGGUGAAACCCUGUCUCUACUAAAAUACAAAAUAUUAGCCAAGCAUGGUCACGUGGGCCUGUAGUCCCAGCUACUCGGGAAGCUGAGGCAGAGGAAUCGCUUGAACCCAGGAGGCGGAGGUUGCAGUGAGCCGAGAUCACAGCACUGCACUCCAGCCUGGCAACAGAGCAAGACUCUGUUUAAAAAAAAAAGAUGUCUUGAUUGUAUAGGCCUCUGUUAGCUGGUUAAUCCUAUUUGCUUACAGCAGAAUGCAUCCCAAUGAAUACAACAGGUAUACGUGCAAUGAAAGAGAGUUCAGUCCUAGGGAGACUGCAAGGGGGAAAAAGUAGGCUCUGGGGUAAAAUAAUUAAAUAAUUCUUCCUUUCAUGGUGGUCAUGAAAUGGUAGCUAACAUUUAUUUGCUUUGUGUUUUUUUUUUUUUCUUUGUGAAGCACCUGUCUGCUAUUGGUGCUAUAUGUUUUUGAAAAUUCAUUUUUACCUCUCCAAGCCCAUUUCCUCACUGGAUUCAUGGAAAGAUGAAGGAGAGACUGCAUGUGAAAAGGGUGGACAUACUUUCUGUCUGGCUGGCUGCCUGUCUUGUUCACUGCACUUUCCCAGCACUAGAUAAAGUUUUUUUUAUUUUGUUGUUUUAUUUUUAGAGACAGGGUCCCACCAUGUCAUCAAGGUUGGAGUGCAGUGGCACAAUCACAGCUCACUGUAACCUCAAAUUCCUGGGCUUAAGUGAUCCUCUCGCCUCAGCCACCUGUGUGGCUGAGACUACAGGGACACACUACCACUCCAGGCUAUUUUUUAAAAUUUUUUGUCAAGACAAGAUCUCGAUAUGUUACCCCAGCUGGUCUCUAACUCCUGGCUUCAAGCAAUCCCUCCCACCUCAGCCUCUCAAAGCACUGGGAUUACAGGCAUGAGCCAUCCCUAGUUAAAAUUUGGUAAAGAAUAAAGCUCUUUCCCUCCGGCUUAUAAAAUCAGGACUCAGUAGUUAUUGCCAAAUGUGCCCCAUUGGUUAAUUUGGAUCUUUCCCCAUUCCUUGCAUGUCCAUUGGCCAUUCGGGCUUCAUUCCUAGAAUAUAUAUUUUUUGGGGGAGAUGGGGUGGUGGGGAUGGAGUGUUGGUCUGUCACCCAAGCUGGAGUGCAGUGGUGUGAUCUCGGCUGACUGCAACCUCCGCCCCCUGGGUUCAAGCAAUUCUCCUGCCUCAGCCUCCCAAAUAGCUGGGACUACAGGUGCCCACCACCACGCCCGGCUCAUUUUCGUGUUUUUAGAAGAGACGGGGUUUCACCAUGUUGGCCAGGCUGGUCUCAAACUCCUGACCUCAGGUGAUCUGCCUGCCUCGGCCACCACACCCGGCCCACUCUUAGAAUAUUUAAUGAAGAUUAUCUUGAUAAAUGUUAUCAAAACAUUCAAUUGACAAACACCAAAUCAGUGUUUUUAUUUAUUUAUUUAUUUUUUGCUUGUUCCAAAGUACUUUCUGUAUAUAUGAUUGCACUGCCUAAGUGUUGUUCUCUCUUUGCAUAUGAGAAAACGAAAGCUUAGAGAGGUCAACUGACUUUCCCAAGGUCAUUUGCUGAUAAUAGAAUCAAAGGACAAGAGGCCAGGCUCUCUUGUGCUGAGCCCUGGCCUGGCUCCCCACUGCCUUGGGGUGGUGGGGUAGGGCCUAGUGGGGAGGUGAUGCUGAAGGUGGUGUGGGUGAUGGAUGGCAGUGCCGCAGGGCUCUUCUUUAAGGAGGCCCACCCCUGCCUUUCACUUCCUGCUCCAGCUCCACAUGCCCUGUCAUUUAAGCCUCAGCACUUUGAGAGGCCUCGAAGGCCGACCCCGUGACUCCCCCAGAAAUGCCUGUGCUUCCUUCCCUGUCAUCUCAAUGCAGAGAGCGCUCACCUCAGCAAGUUCAGACUGUGCAGGCUCGGGAGGACCUUCCGCUCAGCCAGGAGCAUGGCUGGUUUGUCUCUGGAUCCUCAGCACGCAGCGGGCAGCCCAGAGCUGGGCAGGGCGUUGCUGCUCCAUGCGCUCUGCACUGACUUGAUGACGUAGAGAGAGAGAAGGCCGCCUGUUUCCCAGGUGGAGAAACUGCAUGGGGAGAACAUUUUUUUCUUAGACACCUGGGGAAUGAAGCGUUAACUAAGGUGAUACAACUUGGAGUCCGGGAAAGGGGAUUUGGGCAGAGGCUGUGGAGGGGCCUGUGGGGUGGAGAAGGCUGCAAUGAUCCCAGGUCCCCAGGAAAGAGUGGAUCCACCUGUGUGCAGACUUUCCCCACCCUAGGAAAACAGGAUGCAGGCCUUACCUCCUGUCUUUGAGCCAAAAGGAGGGAGAGCCACCACCUGAGUGUCCCAUAUGAGACUGCUUUGCCCCAGGAAGGGGGAAAAUCCUAUGUCACUGCCAAGAAGGUCCAGCUAGCUUCAGUAGAGAAAUCAUGACAUCCAGUGGACAUAUGUGUCAUCCCCAGGCUCAGGCAAUGGCCUCCAGCCAGGAGGCCUUCUAGGGCUGGGCCAACAAGGCACUGUGGAGUGAGCGCUGGGAGGCUGAGUCUGAAUCCUGAUUUUGCCUCUUAGCUACGUGACUUGGAUGAGGACCCUGAGGCUCAUGGAAGUUACAGAACUCACCUGGGGCCAGUCAACCACUCAGCAGCAGGGCCGGGUCUGCCCCAGGUCUGUGUAGUGUCAACGUCCUCACUCUUGGCCACUCUGUGAUUCUAGGAGAGAAGCCAUGCUGUAAAAGAUUCCAGGUCAUGCCUUGACAGGUUACAGUGACCACAUCCAGGAGAUCUUUAAGGCCUUAAUUGUGCCCUUCAGUUCCUGUCAUCAUCAUUAUCAUUAUCUCCACCACCACCAUCAUCAUCAUCUACAUGCCUGAAACUGGCGUAUUCUUAUGCCAUGAACUGUAAAAUAUUUCAUUUAUUUUCCCUACUUUAACCAGCCUUGUGACCUUGUUCAAGUAACCCCACCUCUCUAAGCCUCAGUGUUCUCAUGCAUGAAAUGGGGCCUGUAAAUUCCAUUUGCAAAAGGACAGUGAGCUGUUGUUUUCAUCCCCAAUCCCUCUCCUCCCUGAACUCCCUCCCUGAACUCCCUCUCCUUCCUCCGUGAAGUGCCCUCCGCCCCCAGGGCCUGGAUUCCGGCCACCAGCUCUCCUGCCCCGGCUUUUAACGUUGGUCCCUGCAACAGGCCAGAACAUCUGCCUGUGAACGCCAUGGAACUCUGCCCCUGCGCUGGGGUCCUGCCAGCAAAGAGUUUAAACAAACAGAACUGGGCAGAAACGAGAUGGUCCGCCGGUUGUAAAGGGUCGCACCUCAUGCGCACACGCUCGGGUUUCAUGAUAAUCCGAGUGAUGGUUCUCCUGAGGAGGAUUAGGAAGAAAACGUUAGGGGGCUCUGCGGGGAGCAAGAAAAAGUGGUUGUGUACCCAAGACAAACACUGCCAAGAAAGUGGCCUUUGCUGACCAAUAAACCAAAGUGUGGGAGGGGGUGGGAUUGGGGUACUGGAGGAAAGGAAAAUUUGGGGCUCUGUCCAACUCUUCUAGUGCCUAAGUCAGACCUUCACCAGCAGAAGACCGUUCCACUGAAUGUGUGGAGAGAGAUUACAGCAACCCCAAACCACUGUGGUCAGAGGCUGGCGGGAGCUCCUGCAUGUGGGGGAGGAGCAGCAAGCCCAUGUGCCCUCCAGAGCCAGGCAGGCUCCCUGGGGGGAUGGAAGAUAAAAACAGCGGCAACGGGCAAAAACGGAGGUGAGGAAAAUGGACCAAGCAGGCAGAACAGAGCCAAACCAGAAAACGCCGGCCAAGCUUUCCCUUACUUGCUGUGUCAGAAUGGCCCUUCAGGGAUGAUUGGCACAAGCUGACAUCAAAUUGACAAGAAAAGAUUGGGCAGUGGCCUGAAGAGUGG
rnacentral:lncRNA from 1 species